rnacentral:rRNA from 1 species
GUGCAGCAGUCGCGAAUCUUGGUCAAUGGGCGAAAGCCUGAACCAGCGACACGAAAGAAAGAAGAAGGUCGAAUGAUUGUAAAAGUCGGACCUCUAGAAGAGAAAAGGACAAAGUAGAGGAGAAGUCUCGUCAAAUGAUUGUGCCAGCAGACGCGGUCAGACAACGGAGGCGAGUGUUAUUCUACAGGAAUAGGCGUAAAGGGUUGGUAGGUGGGUUCAAGAAAGAUGGAAAGAAAAGCCAUCCGAAGAGGGUGAGGAAAAGAAAAUAACAAGGAACCUAGAGUGAAAGAGAGGUAUGCGGAAGGACUGAGGGACGAGUGAAAUCGGGAGAGCUCAGGAGGAACAACAGAGGCGAAGGCGGCAUACUGGAGAAAAACUGACAUUGAACAACGAAAGCGUAGGGAGCAAAGGGGAUUAGAUACCCCCGUAGUCC